GAUGAACGCUGGCGGCGUGCCUAAUACAUGCAAGUCGAGCGAACAGACGAGGAGCUUGCUCCUCUGACGUUAGCGGCGGACGGGUGAGUAACACGUGGAUAACCUACCUAUAAUACUGGGAUAACUUCGGGAAACCGGAGCUAAUACCGGAUAAUAUAUUGAACCGCAUGGUUCAAUAGUGAAAGACGGUUUUGCUGUCACUUAUAGAUGGAUCCGCGCCGCAUUAGCUAGUUGGUAAGGUAACGGCUUACCAAGGCGACGAUGCGUAGCCGAUCUGAGAGGAUGAUCGGCCACACUGGAACUGAGACACGGUCCAGACUCCUACGGGAGGCAGCAGUAGGGAAUCUUCCGCAAUGGGCGAAAGCCUGACGGAGCAACGCCGCGUGAGUGAUGAAGGUCUUCGGAUCGUAAAACUCUGUUAUUAGGGAAGAACAAAUGUGUAAGUAACUAUGCACGUCUUGACGGUACCUAAUCAGAAAGCCACAGCUAACUACGUG
rnacentral:rRNA from 1 species